rnacentral:rRNA from 1 species
GAUGAACGCUGGCGGUCUGCUUAACACAUGCAAGUCGAACGGAUGUCUUCGGACAUUAGUGGCGGACGGGUGAGUAACGCGUGAGGAUCUGCCCUCAGGAUGGGGACAACAGUUGGAAACGACUGCUAAUACCCGAUGUGCCGAGAGGUGAAACUAUUUGGCCUGAGGAUGAGCUCGCGUCUGAUUAGCUAGUUGGAGUGGUAAUGGCACACCAAGGCGACGAUCAGUAGCUGGUCUGAGAGGAUGAUCAGCCACACUGGGACUGAGACACGGCCCAGACUCCUACGGGAGGCAGCAGUGGGGAAUUUUCCGCAAUGGGCGAAAGCCUGACGGAGCAAGACCGCGUGGGGGACGAAGGUUUGUGGAUUGUAAACCCCUUUUGAUUGGGAAGAAGUUCUGACGGUACCAAUCGAAUCAGCAUCGGCUAACUCCGUGCCAGCAGCCGCGGUAAUACGGAGGAUGCAAGCGUUAUCCGGAAUUAUUGGGCGUAAAGCGUCCGUAGGUGGUUGGUCAAGUCAGUUGUUAAAGCGUGGGGCUUAACCCCAUAAAGGCAAAUGAAACUGACCAGCUAGAGUGCGAUAGGGGCAAGGGGAAUUUCCAGUGUAGCGGUGAAAUGCGUAGAUAUUGGAAAGAACACCGGUGGCGAAAGCGCCUUGCUGGGUCUGCACUGACACUGAGGGACGAAAGCUAGGGGAGCGAAAGGGAUUAGAUACCCCUGUAGUCCUAGCCGUAAACGAUGGAUACUAGGCG